AUGUAGCUCCUACGUAAUUCCUAUGCUAAUAUUGUAAAGGUGAGAGUUUACCUUCAAGGAGUUGUAUUUAUUACAGUCUCCAUAGUAAAUUACGAAGUAAAUUACUCAUCAAUACAAAUCAAAAAAAGCAAGGUAAGUCAAACAUACAAUUGUCUCUCUUUCAUCUUAUCAUGAGCUCAGAUCUAAAUCACUGUUUUGUGUUCACCAUCAGACAGAGUUACACCUGAAUUUCAGGUUUUACUCAAUGUGUACCUAAAAUUAUCGUCGUGAGUUCCUCGCGAUUUUACAUUUUAUUUCGCCACCGACUUGUAAGCCGAUGCACUAAAAACGGUUUUAAGAAGUUGGUUCUAUUUGCUUUGUAAAAAGUUUUUUAUUUCAACCCUGAUGAGUAUGGUACUAAAAAAUAAUUUUUAAGGCGUCUUUAAGUAAUCGUGAAUCAUAACUACAUAAAAAAACCCGACGAAUUGAGAACUUAAUUCUUUUGGGAAGUCUGUUAAAAAAUAAUUGUUAAAAUCGUUUCAUUCAAUUGGUUUGCAGGUAAAACGAGGGAGUUAUGCUCUCCCAAAAUCAAUAAAAAAACUUUCGAAUAGGGAAUCUCCUACUUUUUGGGCAGUGAUUAAAAACAAAACCAAAAUCCUAACUGAAUUCCUAGUUUCCAAAUGAACUAAAAAUCUAGUUCUGGCUGAUGAUAAAUAAGAUACACGAUUAGCACCUAGUUUGCGGCUGCACCUUCUAACCGCUAUUUUAGUCGGCAAAAAAUCGGUGUAGCCACAUUUUGGAUACUUAUUGCCCGUAUCAUAUUGCAAGUCGGACGGGCAAAAAUUAGGAAAGCAUUAUUUUCAUUGAUGAUUUAUUUAUGAAAGAAAGAAAGAAAAGAAAGAAAAUAAAUUUUAUUGCGCAACAAAAGACGCACACACACUUAAAAUUAGAUAUAUUAGGUAUACAGAAAUAAUAGAAGGGGAAAAUAUGCGUCUUAAAGCGCGCAAUACGGCCCUCGCUCAGCAUAAUGCUGCGACCCGGAACAAGACGGAGUCCCAGCGCCGACUAGCUGCCUCCCGCGUUCCACUUGACUACUAAGGGAACUGAUUCCAGCAACCGGAUAAAAGAAAGCUACCACGUUUCAUCGAAAUCAGUUCAGCCGUUAAAGCCAGUUUGAGGAACAAACACUAUGAACCUGAUAACCCACAAACAUUCACGUUAAAGUUACGUUAUGUUAUCAGUAGGAAGGAAUUAAAAUAGUCAAAGGUAUACUUAUAACGUUUGCAAACUUUAGACAGUACGCCUGCCAACGAUGGUUGCUAUUUUAGUUCGUUCACGUGGCUUUCACGGCCGCAGGAUUUCAUUGAAUUAGCAAAGUGAGGGGGUUUUCAUUUCACUCUUUCCUCAAUGUAUAUAUUAUACAUAUAUAUUCAUUAGUAUCUGUUUCCAAAAUGUUCGAUUUCCCGAAUAGUUCGCAGAAUGUCUCUAACACUACCUGCCAAUUUUAUAGUUCUCUAUACAGUUACCGCUGAUUGCGCAAGUAGCAUACCUAUAUAGUUUUUCCCAAUUGAAGCAUAAUGUGUCUCACUCCUAUUGCCAGAAUAGUCAUUUUUAGGGUUCCGUACCUUUUUUUUUUAGCGACGUAAAAUCAUCGAAUGACCCCUCCCGCUGUGGGUUAGCAGCGGUGAGGGAGUGUCAGACUCUUACUGACUAAAAUCGUCGUGUUCCGUCAUAGGCCUUUUAUGUACCAGGGCCGCGGUAUCUCUUUCGAACAACCCGCAGCCCCGGCAGGACCGCCAGCCCCGGCAGGACCCGCAGCCCCGGCAGGAGGGUUCCGUACCUCAAAAGGAAAAACGGAACCCUUAUAGGAUCACUUUGUUGUCCGUCUGUCUGUCUGUCAAGACCCUUUAUCUCAAGAACGCGUGGACGUAUCAAGCUGAAAUUCACAUGAAAUACUCAGGUCUAUUGUCCCUUUAAGCUGUGAAAAUAUCAAACUUCUAAGCCAAGCCAAUCAAAAGAUACAGCCGAUUAUGUCGAUAUUUUCAACAAAUUUUCGACACUCGCAAAGGAAUCAAAACCUACAGGAUACUUCCCGUAAACUCAGAGUCUUGAAAUUUGGCAUGAAGCAUUGUCAUAUAAUGCAAAUAUAGGAAAAAUUUCGAAAAUCUCAUUUUUUUAGUUAUAUAAUAUAAAAAAAAAUAUUUUAAUAAAAUGAAACUUACUACCUUAUUUCUCACGAACGAAUAAAGGUAUCAAAUUGAAAUUUAUACCAAAUACCUAGGUCUAUUGUCCCUUUAGGCAGUGAAAAAAUCAAACUUCUAAGUUAACGCGAUCAAAAGAUACAGCAGUUAUACCGACACCUAAGACGAAUUUCCGUCACACGCUAGGAAAUCAAAACCUACAAGGUUCUUCCCGUGAACUCAUGCCCGUUUUCACCAACAACCUCUUACCGUUUCCCUAUCUAAAUGCUACUUUUAAUAAGGACCCCUCCCAAUUUGACACCUACCUAAAUUCAUUUUCACCACACUUAUACAUGGAUCCCUUAAGUAAGUGACAGAUUACUAGUUCUACAAACGAUAAUGCAAAGUCGAUAUUUUAUCGAUAAAAUGAUUUUUCUGUACUUCUUAAGAAAUAAACGUCUAUCGAGUAUAUAUUACUAAAGCCUGUGAGUUUUUUUUCCUUGUGAUGUUAUUUUAAUUUAACUUAAACUACAUUACGCUAUGUUUUAUGCAAUAAAACAGUAAAGAGGUUUUCUAUAGGUGAAUUUUUACCUAUGUCAUUCGCGCGUUUGUCAAAUUGACUGAUGUGUAUAUGUGUACAUGUGUACAUAGAGUGAGGUUAAUUUUGGGUUUAUUAUUGUUGAAUAGAUAUGUUUAUUUUGGCAGAGAAGAGAAAACGACGAUAAACCUUUCUUACAGAAGAAAAAGACAAGCUAGUGAAAUUGCUGACGUCUCAUAGAGACACAAUAUUAAACAAAAAACGGAUGGGACCACGAACGAAGCCAAAAACAAAGCUUGGAUCCAGUCACAAAUAGUUUUAAUGCGAUAGGAACCCUUUACAGUUUCAGGUGGUGCGAGAAAUUGGAAAGACGUGUAAAAACAUGCUGUGCCCAGCCCACCUCAAAUUGAAUUGGUGCAGGAGGAUGAUGAUAAUGUUUGGUACAUCAUAUGAGGACUAAUAUUAAAAUAUUUGUUUACUAUCUUUGUUUUAAUUUACAUAAUUUAUUAUGUUCAAUGUUAGCCUACUUCUUACCUCCAGAGGGUAUCCCCUAUCACCUAGGAGAUAGGCUCCUCCAUAUUCACCAUUUUCGAAUCAUUGGUAUCUACUGCAGUUUUGGUAUUUAAGGCCUAUUCAAACCUGAGCGAUAUUCGCUGCCGCUGUGGGUAGAGGUAGAUACCGCGCCGGUUUCGCUCAGGUAUUUAGUAUCAAGUAUAGUUACCGGCACGGAUAUUGAGCUCUCGGCGGAAGAGUGGGGAUCGCUUUGGCGCACUGUACACAAGGCAAUAAACCAAUAAAUGGCUUCUGCGUAGGUGAAGGUCAGGGCUCAAUAUCCGUGCCGAUAACUAUACCGCGGCUAGAGCGACCUGAGCGAUAUCCACUGCCGCUGUGGGUAGAAGUACAUACCGCGCGGCUGCAGCGGCAUGCAUCCCGAACAUCAACAGUAAUAUUAACGCAUACCCACAGGGUUUUCUCUGUCGCAGGUGGUAGCGAAUACCGCUUAGGUCUGAACAGUCAUAUUACCGCAUACCCACAGGGUGUUCUCUGCCGUAGACGGUAGCGAAUACCGCUUAGGUCUGAAUAGGCCUAUAGUUGUCCCGGCCUCCGCGAAACUACAUCAGUGAUUACCAGAUUUGCAUCUGUUAUGGUCUGUAUAUUUAUGGACAUGCAGGACUUCCUAUUUUUGAAUAAUUCAGCGACAUCACGACCUAGCAAGUGCAUUCAUAGCAAGUGAUAACCUAUAAUCUUAUAAAAAAGUCAUGAUCAUCGUACUUUUUUCUCAGACAUCUGCUCUUUCACGUAAGAUAGGUACGUGGUCUUCUAAUGAUUAUUAUUUUACAUAUCCACAACCUCCACAGCUUCUAAACUUUCUAAAAGUUUACGUUUCAUUUUUUUUUGCUUUUUAAACAUGGUAUUUUUGGUGUUACAUAACAUAUAAAGGUACAUUUCACUAUCCAUCGCCAGAAA